rnacentral:misc_RNA from 1 species
AAGUCGUAACAAGGUUUCCGUAGGUGAACCUGCGGAAGGAUCAUUAACGUGCCUUUAAAAACCUUUUCGACCGUGGACUUUGUUUUCAAAAACAAUUUCACAAACCACAAAAACCAAUUUUAUUCUAAUCUUAUACUUUCAAAAAGUUGACAUUUAAAAAAUGACGACUUUCAACGGUGGAUCUCUAGGCUCGU